GAUUCUCAAUUGUGUUUCCUCAUGAUAUAGUUACUGAGAGUAAACACCAUCUGUCAGCUUCAUGGAUUCUUUUCCAAGAUUUUACUUUGUCUUUCUUCUUGAUUUUCCAGUCGUGCAAAAUACAAUUGAGAGAAAAAUUUAAAAAGCACACAAGUGGGCCAUGGUGCUUCUCCGGUAGGUACAACACAGAUUUUGGAAUUUAUCCGAGAACGAGGUGGCCGAUUGAGCAUGCCGAUGCUCUACAGAUAUGCUCAGUAAUUUCCCAUUAGGUGGGCAGAGAUUACUCCAAAGAGGAGACGUCCUUUGUCUUGCAAAUAUGGAAAUACCAGUGCUCAGUUAUCCAGAAAUUCCAAUGGUUAAACGGAGAGUACUCUGAAGACCAGGCUUUGCUUUGUUUUGCAAGGAUGGAAAUGCCGAUGUUCAGUCAUUCAGAAAAAUAUAUAUUCCAGUGGUAUGUUCAAGCUUAGUGUAAUUACUGUCUUCUUCGUUCUUGGUUUGUUACAAUCGUAUAAAAUAGCACUCGAACAACUUAAUAAAAAUUGACACUAGGUGCUUGGUGCCAGAGACCUUGCACAAACGCCUGCAUGCCAUAUCAUCUGAUUAGAGACGCUACAGAAUAAUAAGUCGAGGAACAUGUGAUUAGAUAAGAGAUAGAAGAAAAUAAUAGAAUAGUCAAACAAUCCAAAUCAGAAUAGGAGAAGCAUUGGGCAUACAUUGUAUAUCUCACUCUCACCCACAACCUACUCACAUAUGCCCCACCAGCAACUUCAGGGUGUUAUAAUUUCCCCCUUGAAAUUACCAAAUACUUCUAUCAUUCUAAUUUUCUCUAAUAAUUUAAACUUCUACCCUUAAGACAGAUGGGCGCGGCAACGCACACAUUUCUGUUCUAGUGGACAUCGUAUGAGGCGUCCAAACCAGGGGAUGAGUCAGACCUCUUCUCUCCAGGGACCUUUCGACGGCCUUUGUCUUCUCCAGAGCGGCUGUGGCUUUUCCCUUGAGGGAAGGAAUUUUCGGCUGUUGAGCACAAAGAAGGGAGCCCGGGCACAAGAUCUCAGCCGUUCUCGCCUCAGAGGAGGGGUCCACGUUCCCUGUCAUCGGCUCCUCGGAGGGCACACUAAUAGAGUACUGAGGGCCCCUUGUCCUGGAGGUGCUCACGUACAUGGUUGACUAGCAAGCCUCCCAACUGCCAGGAAAUGGAAAGCUGAGAUGCAAAGG